rnacentral:rRNA from 1 species
GACGAACGCUGGCGGCGUGCUUAACACAUGCAAGUCGAGCGGAGCGGCGAACGGGUGAGUAACGCGUGUGUAACUUCCACCCUCUCUGGGAUAACGUUUGGAAACGGCUGCUAAUACCGGAUAGUGGGGUAUGCCUCGCGUCCUAUCAGCUUGUUGGUGGGGUAGUGGCCUACCAAGGCGACGACGGGUAGCCGGCCUGAGAGGGCGACCGGCCACAUGGGGCUGAGAUACGGGCCAGACUCCUACGGGAGGCAGCAGGGGGGAAUAGUGCACAAUGGGGGAAACCCUGCUGCAGAAACGCCGCGUGCGUGAUGACGGUCUGCGGGUUGUAAACCGCUUUCAGCCAUGACGCGGUAGGGGCAGAAGAAGCACCGGCUAACUACGUGCCAGCAGCCGCGGUAAUUC